CACAGGCAUACAGCCACACAAACAGACAGAGGCAGACAGUCACACACAGGCAGUCACACACACACACACAGGCAGACAGUCAUACACACAGACACACACAGGCAGACAGUCAGACACACACAGGCGGACAGUCAAACACACACAGGCGGACAGUCACACACACACACACACGCAGGCAGACAGUCUUACACAGACACACACAGUCCCACAGGCAGACAUUCACACACACACACACACACAAGCAGACAGUCACACACACAGGCAGACAGUCAAACACACAGACAGACAGCCACGCACACACACACAGGCAGACAAUCACACAUAGUUACCUCUGUUCAUUAUGGAGGAGUGGAGGCAGUGCAGCUCCUGGAGUCCCUGCUUCCCCUGUAGCAGUUACCUGGCACUUUUAGCUCUGCACCCUGCCGUCAGUUUAGUUUCGAAUCCACCGCACGUGAAGCUCCGUCUCCA